rnacentral:rRNA from 1 species
AUACGGAGGGUGCAAGCGUUACUCGGAAUCACUGGGCGUAAAGCGCGCGCAGGCGGCUAUUUAAGUUGGAUGUGAAAGCCUACGGCUCAACCGUAGAACUGCAUCCAAAACUAUUUAGCUAGAGUGUGGGAGAGGAAGAUGGAAUUAGUUGUGUAGGGGUAAAAUCCGUAGAGAUAACUAGGAAUACCAAAAGCGAAGGCAAUCUUCUGGAACACUACUGACGCUGCGGCGCGAAAGCGUGGGGAGCAAACGGGAUUAGAAACCCCUGUAGUCC